UACGUAGGGGGCGAGCGUUGUCCGGAUUUAUUGGGCGUAAAGAGCGUGUAGGCGGCCAGGUAGGUCUGCUGUGAAAACUCGAGGCUCAACCUCGAGACGUCGGCGGAAACCGUCUGGCUAGAGUCCGGAAGAGGAGAGUGGAAUUCCUGGUGUAGCGGUGAAAUGCGCAGAUAUCAGGAAGAACACCCGUGGCGAAGGCGGCUCUCUGGGACGGUACUGACGCUGAGACGCGAAAGCGUGGGGAGCGAACAGG
rnacentral:rRNA from 1 species